GAUGAACGCUGGCGGCGUGCCUAAUACAUGCAAGUCGAGCGAACGGACGCGGAGCUUGCUUCGCUGACGUUAGGGGAGGGCGGGUGAGUAACACGUGGAUAACCCCCCUAUAUGACUGGGAUAACUUCGAGAAACCGUCGCUAAUCCCGUAGAAUCUUCUGAACCGCGUGGUUGAUUAGAGAAAUUCGGCCUUGCUGUCACGUCUCGCUGGUUCUGCGCUGCAUUGGCUGGUUGGUACGGUAACGGCCUACCAAGGCAACGAUGCAUAGCCGACCGGAUAGGCUGGUCGGCCACCCUGGAACUGGGACGCGGUCCUUGCUCCUACGGGACGCAGCAGUAUGGAAUCUGCCGCAAUGGUCGAAAGCCUGACGGAGCGGCGCCGCGCGAGUGAUGGAGGCCUUCGGAUCGUAAUGCUCUCUUAUUGGGUAAGAACAGAUUUGUAAGUUACUGUGCACUGCGUGACGGUACCUAAUCAGAAAGCCACGGCUAACUACGUG
rnacentral:rRNA from 1 species